rnacentral:rRNA from 1 species
UACGUAGGGACCAAGCGUUGUUCGGAUUUACUGGGCGUAAAGGGCGCGUAGGCGGCGUGGUACGUCAGUUGUGAAAUCUCUGAGCUUAACUCAGAACGGCCAAGUGAUACUGCUGUGCUAGAGUGCAGAAGGGGCAAUCGGAAUUCUUGGUGUAGCGGUGAAAUGCGUAGAUAUCAAGAGGAACACCUGAGGUGAAGACGGGUUGCUGGGCUGACACUGACGCUGAUGCGCGAAAGCUAGGGGAGCAAACGGG